UGGGGAAUAUUGGUCAAUGGGCGAAAGCCUGAACCAGCAAUGCCGCGUGAGUGAUGAAGGCCUUCGGGUUGUAAAGCUCUGUCAGUGGGAACGAAUAAGCCGGUUAAUACCCGGUGGUGACGGUACCCACAAAGGAAGCACCGGCUAACUCUGUGCCAGCAGCCGCGGUAAUACAGAGGGUGCAAGCGUUGUUCGGAAUUACUGGGCGUAAAGCGCGUGUAGGCGGUCUAGCAAGUCGGUCGUGAAAUCCCUUGGCUUAACCAAGGAACUGCGUUCGAAACUACUGGACUAGAGUAUCGGAGGGGGUGGCGGAAUUCCCGGUGUAGAGGUGAAAUUCGUAGAUAUCGGGAGGAACACCUGUGGCGAAGGCGGCCGCCUGGAAGAUUACUGACGCUGAGACGCGAAAGCGUGGGGAGCAAACAGGAUUAGAUACCCUGGUAGUCCACGCCGUAAACGAUGAGUGCUAGGUGUUGCGGGUAUUGACCCCUGCAGUGCCAAAGCUAACGCGUUAAGCACUCCGCCUGGGGAGUACGGUCGCAAGAUUA
rnacentral:rRNA from 1 species